AUGACAGCCUUUAAUAUUAAUCAAACUUUAAGGCCUUUUCCCUCUCCCACUGUUAGAUCGUCACGGAGGAGUCAGAGCUUGUCUGAUGGUGCUGCUGAUCCCCAUUCAGCAACGCAUUUAAGCAUCUGUUUAUGGCUGUUACAGUCCUGUGGCCAUUCAUCCUGCAAACUGCAGGGGAGCAUGUUUACAGUGGAUUCCCACAUCAGAAGUAGUGACAUCAGUGAUUCCUCUUGCAAUUUCCCAUCGGUGCCCCAGGGACAGGGCUGGUCUUCCUUUGGUAGCACGCGCUGAGGUCUGGGGACAGCAGGUGCUGUGAUACGCCGAAGUGCUCAUGCUCUCCUGAGGCGUUAAAGCCAGGGUAAGUCGCAGGAGUCACUGCAGUGCUUAGCCUGUACGAGGCUCUGAUAGCUCGUUAUUUCUUUAU
rnacentral:lncRNA from 1 species